CCUAAGACAUGCAAGUCGAACGAGAAGGCCCAUUGAAGAUGGAGUGCUUGCACAAAGUUGGAUUUGGAUCCCUUCUAGUGGCGCAAGGGUGAGUAACACGUGGGUAAUCUACCUUCGAGUCUGGAAUAACAGUUAGAAAUGAUUGCUAAUGCCGGAUGAUAUUGAGAACGAUACGUCAUUCUUUAUUAAAAGGGGCCUCUAAAGCCUCGCUUGAAGAUGAGCCUGCGCCGUAUUAGCUAGUUGGUGGGGUAAUGGCCUACCAAGGCAACGAUGCGUAGCCGACCUGAGAGGGUGAUCGGCCACACUGGGACUGAGACACGGCCCAGACUCCUACGGGAGACAGCAGUUAGGAAUAUUCGUCAAUGGGGGAAACCCUGAACGAGCAAUGCCGCGUGAAGGAUGACGGUCCUAUGGAUUGUAAACUUCUGUUGUUAGGGAAGAACGACCUGUAUAGGAAAUGAUACAGGAGUGACGGUACCUUUCAAGAAAGCUCCGGCUAACUACGUGCCAGCAGCCGC
rnacentral:rRNA from 1 species